GGAACAGGAGUCGGCCGGACCGCCGACAGGACACGUGGAGCAGGAGUCGGCCGGACCGCCGACAGGACACGUGGAGCAGGAGUCGACCGGACCUCCGCCAGGACGCUUGGAGUAGAGGUCGGCCGGACCUCCGACAGGACGCUUGGAGCAGAGGUCGACCGGACCUCCGACAGGACACUUGGAGCAGAGGUCGGCCGGACCUCCGACAGGACGCUUGGAGCAGAGGUCGACCGGACCUCCGACAGGACGCUUGGAGAAGAGGUAGGCUGAACCCCCGACACAGGAGCAGGCCUGGAUUCGGCUGAGACACUGGGCAGCCUAGAUCUUCUUCUCCGAUAUCCAUGCCUCGCUCCAGGGACUCCAGCUCCCAGACGGCAAUCCUGCAGGAAGCCAACAGGCCGGGGCUGAGGCUGAUGCUCGGGCCGAAUCCGGAUGCCCAAAAAGGCAUAAAAGCUCUCUGCUGGGGUCAUUAUGGUUGGUUCGUUCUGUCGUGAUCUGUUUACAACGUUGACCCAAACGCAGAGUAACAAGCAGGAACGGAAGUUUUUAAAUAAAAGCGAGCUUUAUUUAAAGCUGACAAAAUCCA